UACGAAGGGGGCUAGCGUUGCUCGGAAUCACUGGGCGUAAAGGGCGCGUAGGCGGUCAGCACAAGUCAGUUGUGAAAUCUCCGGGCUUAACUCGGAAAGGUCAACUGAUACUGUGCGACUAGAGUGCAGAAGGGGCAACUGGAAUUCCGGGUGUAGCGGUGAAAUGCGUAGAUAUCCGGAGGAACACCGGUGGCGAAGGCGGCUUCCUGGACCGAUACUGACGCUGAGGCGCGAAAGCUAGGGGAGCAAACGGG
rnacentral:rRNA from 1 species